rnacentral:rRNA from 1 species
GAUGAACGCUGGCGGCGUGCCUAAUACAUGCAAGUCGAGCGAACAGACGAGGAGCUUGCUCCUCUGACGUUAGCGGUGGACGGGUGAGUAACACGUGGAUAACCUACUUAUAAGUCUGGGAUAACUUCGGGAAAACGGAGCUAAUACCGGAUAAUAUAUUGAAUCGCAUGGUUCAAUAGUGAAAGAAGGUUUUGCUGUCACUUAUAGAUGGAUCCGCGCCGCAUUAGCUAGUUGGUAAGGUAACGGCUUACCAAGGCAACGAUGCGUAGCCGACCUGAGAGGGUGAUCGGCCACACUGGAACUGAGACACGGUCCAGACUCCUACGGGAGGCAGCAGUAGGGAAUCUUCCGCAAUGGGCGAAAGCUUGACGGAGCAACGCCGCGUGAGUGAUGAAGGUCUUCUGAUCGUAAAACUCUGUUAUUAGGGAAGAACAAAUGUGUAAGUAACUAUGCACGUCUUGACGGUACCUAAUCAGAAAGCCACGGCUAACUACGUG